CCGAGUCUUCCUUUUAGUGUCUGAUCCACCAACACCUGGAGCUCUACUUCGCUCUGGGCUCCUCUUGGCUUCUGAAGCUCUAUCUCAUAUUGGGCUCCCCAUCAGGUAGUAAUAUCCUCUUAUACUCUUUUUUCCCUCCAAAAUAAUCCUAUCAUCAUGCAACACCUUCAGGAUUCCUCUACCAGCUACCGUCCUGUAGCCUCUCGAAACC
rnacentral:lncRNA from 1 species